UUAGAGUUUGAUCCUGGCUCAGGAUGAACGCUAGCGAUAGGCCUAACACAUGCAAGUCGAGGGGCAGCACAUGAGGUAGCAAUACCGAUGGUGGCGACCGGCGCACGGGUGAGUAACACGUAUGCAACCUGCCUUCAACAAGGGGAUAACUCGUUGAAAGACGGACUAAUACCCUAUAACACGGGGCUCCCGCAUGGGAAUAUUUGUUAAAGAUUUAUCGGUUGAAGAUGGGCAUGCGUUCCAUUAGUUAGUUGGGGGGGUAACGGCCCACCAAGGCAACGAUGGAUAGGGGAACUGAGAGGUUUAUCCCCCACACUGGUACUGAGACACGGACCAGACUCCUACGGGAGGCGGCAGUGAGGAAUAUUGGUCAAUGGACGCAAGUCUGAACCAGCCACGUCGCGUGAAGGAAGACGGCCCUACGGGUUGUAAACUUCUUUUGUAAGGGAAUAAAGUGAGUCACGUGUGGCUUUUUGCAUGUACCUUACGAAUAAGGAUCGGCUAACUCCGUGCCAGCAGCCGCGGUAAUACGGAGGAUCCGAGCGUUAUCCGGAUUUAUUGGGUUUAAAGGGUGCUCAGGCGGGCCAUUAAGUCGGCGGUGAAAUUUUGCGGCUCAACCGUAAAAGUGCCUUCGAUACUGGUGGUCUUGAGUGUGGAUGAGGUAGGCGGAAUUUGUGGUGUAGCGGUGAAAUGCAUAGAUAUCACGAGGAACUCCGAUUGCUAAGGCAGCUUACUAAGCCAUAACUGACGCUCAAGCACGAAGGCGUGGGGAUCAAACGGGAUUAGAUACCCUGGUAGUCCACG
rnacentral:rRNA from 1 species